UAACAGGAAGCAGCUUGCUGCUUCGCUGACGAGUGGCGGACGGGUGAGUAAUGUCUGGGAAACUGCCUGAUGGAGGGGGAUAACUACUGGAAACGGUGGCUAAUACCGCAUAACGUCGCAAGACCAAAGAGGGGGACCUUCGGGCCUCUUGCCAUCAGAUGUGCCCAGAUGGGAUUAGCUAGUUGGUGAGGUAACGGCUCACCAAGGCGACGAUCCCUAGCUGGUCUGAGAGGAUGACCAGCCACACUGGAACUGAGACACGGUCCAGACUCCUACGGGAGGCAGCAGUGGGGAAUAUUGCACAAUGGGCGCAAGCCUGAUGCAGCCAUGCCGCGUGUAUGAAGAAGGCCUUCGGGUUGUAAAGUACUUUCAGCGGGGAGG
rnacentral:rRNA from 1 species